GACACACCUUCCAGUGGUGCAACUGAACUAUGCCGCUGUGUCACAAGAGACGCCUUUCAGUCGAGAUGUAGUGGAGGGCUGCGUUAAAGAAACUCUUCUUCUGCUCUUCAGAGCUUUGGCCUCUGAACAAAACAUAUUUCUCACCUUCCAGGGAAUCGGAGUUUUGUCCUUUAAGAACAACAAGGUGCGGAUGAAGUUCAACAGAGAUUUCAUUAAAGCCAUGGAUGGAAGUGGUCAGCUGUUGUUAGCCUUUAACAAUAGACCUGGGAGCAGUAUCUCUUUACUGUCUGGUGGCCUGUCCAGGCUCCAGAAGCCACAGACUGCCAUCACCCUGCCAACUGUCUGCUCUCCUCAGCCUGACAACAAAGCUGGUGACACAGAUCUAUGGUCCGUGUCACCAGCUCCAGACGAGAGGAAUG